GAGGGUAUAGCUCAGUGGUGGAGCACAUGUUUAGCAUGCAAGAGUUCAUGGGUUCAAUCCCCCAGUACCUCA
rnacentral:tRNA from 1 species